rnacentral:rRNA from 1 species
UACGUAGGGUGCAAGCGUUGUCCGGAAUUAUUGGGCGUAAAGAGCUCGUAGGUGGCCUGUCGCGUCGGCUGUGAAAUCCCGAGGCUCAACCUCGGGUCUGCAGUCGAUACGGGCAAACUAGAGUAUUGCAGGGGAGACUGGAAUUCCUGGUGUAGCGGUGAAAUGCGCAGAUAUCAGGAGGAACACCGGUGGCGAAGGCGGGUCUCUGGGCAAUAACUGACGCUGAGGAGCGAAAGCGUGGGGAGCGAACAGG